UACGGAGGGUGCAAGCGUUGUUCGGAAUUACUGGGCGUAAAGAGCGUGUAGGCGGUCUGUUAAGUCGGGUGUGAAAGCCCUGGGCUCAACCCAGGAACUGCAUUCGAAACUGGCAAACUGGAGUGUCGGAGAGGGUGGUGGAAUUCCCGGUGUAGAGGUGAAAUUCGUAGAGAUCGGGAGGAACACCGGUGGCGAAGGCGGCCACCUGGAAGAUAACUGACGCUGAGACGCGAAAGCGUGGGGAGCAAACAGG
rnacentral:misc_RNA from 1 species